GGGAUCUUCUGCCCCGGGUGCGUCGCAGCCCCGGACCAAGGCGCCCGCCGGAGGAAUCAACCAAAACUCUUAUUGUAUACCCCCUCGCGGGUUUUUUUUAUAAUCUGAGCCUUCUCGGCGCCUCUCGUAGGCGUUUCGAAAAUGAAUCAAAACUUUCAACAACGGAUCUCUUGGUUCUGGCAUCGAUGAAGAACGCAGCGAAAUGCGAUAAGUAAUGUGAAUUGCAGAAUUCAGUGAAUCAUCGAAUCUUUGAACGCACAUUGCGCCCGCCAGUAUUCUGGCGGGCAUGCCUGUCCGAGCGUCAUUUCAACCCUCGAACCCCUCCGGGGGGUCGGCGUUGGGGAUCGGCCUUCCUUCACGGGGGCCGUCUCCGAAAUACAGUGGCGGUCUCGCCGCAGCCUCUCCUGCGCAGUAGUUUGCACACUCGCAUCGGGAGCGCGGCGCGUCCACAGCCGUUAAACACCCAACUUUCUGAAAUGUUGACCUCGGAUCAGGUAGGAAUACCCGCUGAACUUAGCAUAUAAUA
rnacentral:rRNA from 1 species